UACGGGGGGGGCAAGCGUUGUUCGGAAUUACUGGGCGUAAAGGGCUUGUAGGUGGCCAACUAAGUCAGACGUGAAAUCCCACGGCUUAACCGAGGAACUGCGUCUGAUACUGGAUGGCUUGAGUGUGGGAGAGGGAUGCGGAAUUCCAGGUGUAGCGGUGAAAUGCGUAGAUAUCUGGAGGAACACCGGUGGCGAAGGCGGCAUCCUGGACCACGACUGACACUGAAAAGCGAAAGCCAGGGGAGCAAACGGG
rnacentral:rRNA from 1 species